CAUGAGCAGAAGACGCCGCGCCUAUUUGUCAGCGUUUUAUUUCUCCACAUAUUUCGGCCGCGAUCUAACAACUAAAAUGCCGGCUGGAGACGACUUUAAGGCGGCCACCAACACUGUCAAAACGUGUUUUAUUCUUUCCAUAGUUGGCAUCAUCUUCAGCUUGACAUCAGUAUUUGCCAGCUACUGGUACGUUUUGUCUGAAUUUCACUAUGGAUUGUGGUCAAUGUGCGUGGGAAGCCAUUGCAACACCUUCGAUUUUCCUCAAACGAACUGGCUUGGGAUAAUCCAGUUUCUGGCUGUGGUUGGCACAGUGCUGAUCCUCGUUGGUCUUAUCAUGCUCAGCCUCUACAUCUUCGGCAGCAAGAAAGGAAGCAUGGAAACGCUCGCCCAGUGCUGUUACGUGUUUUUCGUCGCAGCUCUCUUGUGGGGCGCUUGUCUGUUCGUCUACGAUUGUAGAGAACACAGAGGUAACGGCUUUGCCUACUGGCUGGGAGUGUUGGCGGGCAUUUUGGCCUUUGUCAUCUCGCUGCUUCUGCACCUGCAGCAGAGAGGUUGCAUGGACUGUUAAUGUGUAACACGCAAGUUAACACAUUCAUAGUCCUACCAUCAUCAGAUUUGAUUUGAUGCUUCUUGUUACUCUGGUACCUUGUGGGGAAUGGAGAAAGUCAGCGAUGGAAUGUAUGAAUGACAAUACACAAGUUUGACUCUGGGUUAUUUAAUUUUAAGAGCCUUUUAUUCUUUAACCUGAACCAUCUUUGAAGAUAAGAGUAUGUAGUUGAAAAAAAAUUUGGCGUGAAAAGUGUUCCUUAGGUUUGUCGUUGUUUAUUUUAAAUUCUUAUCAUCUUAUUUUGUAAAAAAAAAAAAAAAAGUGCAUGGUUAUGAGAAAAUGCAGGCUUUUAAAAAAAAUAUUCUGAUGUAUAGAAAACUAUAUUUUGCAGCGUAGGUUGAUGUUUAUUUGGUCACGUGAUCACAGUAUGAAUGCACUUAGGAUUUUUUUUUUUCAUGCGGGCUAUCAGAUACAACCCACAAUUUAACCAGAGUAAAAUAUUAACAAAACAUUUGUUGUAAUGUUUAGGUCGCUAUACAGGCAGUGAAAUAUU